rnacentral:rRNA from 1 species
UACGAAGGGGGCUAGCGUUGCUCGGAAUCACUGGGCGUAAAGGGUGCGUAGGCGGGUCUUUAAGUCAGGGGUGAAAUCCUGGAGCUCAACUCCAGAACUGCCUUUGAUACUGGGAGUCUUGAGUUCGGAAGAGGUUGGUGGAACUGCGAGUGUAGAGGUGAAAUUCGUAGAUAUUCGCAAGAACACCAGUGGCGAAGGCGGCCAACUGGUCCGAAACUGACGCUGAGGCGGCGAAAGCGUGGGGAGCAAACAGG